GUGUGUGUGUGUGUGUACACCAUGGGCAUUCAGUGUCCGUGAAGGUCAGUUUAAGGCAUUAGAACCCCUAGAACUGGAGUUAGAGAUGCUUAGUCAACAUGUGGUCCUGUGGUCUGUGCAUGAGACUCUAGGUGCUCACUGCUGCCUAUCUCUCCUGCCUGUUGUACACUUUUGGAAUAGACGGUGUAGGGACCUAAGAGGGUCAGCCUGGCGUAUUUCACUUGCUUGGCAUAGUUUAUAACAUGCAAUCAAGUGAGAGCUGGUUGAUGUUCCGCUGUGUAAAUGUUGUCCUGGGUUAUGAAGAAUGUGAAGGGGGCUGUUUUAAGAUACACUUUCAUGCGGUUCUGAUAAUCUCCUUGCUAAAAAGAUUGUUGGCCUUUUUGAACCUGACCACCAUGGCUUACUAUAUUUUCCUUAAUGUGCUUUACUGUUGCAGGCUGACACUUGCUUGUGGUGGGAUAGCUCUGAAUUCCUUUGAUGACCUGAAUCCUGACUGUUUGGGACAUGCAGGGCUUGUAUAUGAGUAUACACUGGGUGAGGAGAAGUUCACCUUUAUUGAGAAGUGUAACAAUCCCCGUUCUGUCACUUUACUGGUUAAAGGACCAAAUAAGCACACACUGACUCAAAUCAAGGAUGCGAUAAGAGAUGGCUUGAGGGCUGUCAAAAAUGCUAUUGAUGAUGG
ensembl:processed_transcript